GAUGAACGCUGGCGGCGUGCCUAAUACAUGCCAGUCGAGCGAACAGACGAGGAGCUUGCUCCUCUGACGUUAGCGGCGGACGGGUGAGUCACACGUGUAUAACCUACCUAUAAGACUGGGAUAACUUCGGGAAACCGGAGCUAAUACCGGAUAAUAUAUUGAACCGCAUGGUUCAAUAGUGAAAGACGGUUUUGCUGUCACUUAUAGAUGGAUCCGCGCCGCAUUAGCUAGUUGGUACGUUCACGGGCUACCAAGGCAAGCAGGCGUAGACGACGUGAGAGGGUGAUAGGCCACACGGGAGCUGAGACACGGACCAGACUCCUAAGGGAGGCAGCAGUAGGGAAUCUGCCGCAAUGGGCGAAAGCCUGACGGAGCAACGCGGAGUGAGUGAUGAAGGUCUUCGGAUCGUAAAAAUCUGUUAUGAGGGAAGAACAAAUGUGUAAGUAACUAUGCACGUCUUGACGGUACCUAAUCAGAAAGCAACGGCUAACUACGUG
rnacentral:rRNA from 1 species